rnacentral:rRNA from 1 species
GGACGAACGCUGGCGGCGUGCUUAACACAUGCAAGUCGAGCGGAAAGGCCCUUCGGGGUACUCGAGCGGCGAACGGGUGAGUAACACGUGAGUAACCUGCCCUUGGCUCUGGGAUAAGCCCGGGAAACUGGGUCUAAUACCGGAUAUGACCACCUUCUGCAUGGAGGGUGGUGGAAAGUUUUUCGGCUGGGGAUGGACUCGCGGUCUAUCAGCUUGUUGGUGGGGUGAUGGCCUACCAAGGCGACGACGGAUAGCCGGCCUGAGAGGGUGACCGGCCACACUGGGACUGAGACACGGCCCAGACUCCUACGGGAGGCAGCAGUGGGGAAUAUUGCGCAAUGGGCGAAAGCCUGACGCAGCGACGCCGCGUGGGGGAUGAAGGCCUUCGGGUUGUAAACCUCUUUCACCACCGACGAAGCUAACGUGACGGUAGGUGGGGAAGAAGCGCCGGCUAACUACGUGCCAGCAGCCGCGGUAAUACGUAGGGCGCAAGCGUUGUCCGGAAUUAUUGGGCGUAAAGAGCUCGUAGGCGGUCUGUCGCGUCUGCCGUGAAAACCCGAGGCUUAACCUCGGGCUGGCGGUGGAUACGGGCAGACUAGAGGUAGGUAGGGGAGAAUGGAAUUCCCGGUGUAGCGGUGAAAUGCGCAGAUAUCGGGAGGAACACCGGUGGCGAAGGCGGUUCUCUGGGCCUUACCUGAC